rnacentral:rRNA from 1 species
CCGUAGGUGAACCUGCGGAAGGAUCAUUACCGAGUGAGGGCCCUCUGGGUCCAACCUCCCACCCGUGUCUAUCGUACCUUGUUGCUUCGGCGGGCCCGCCGUUUCGACGGCCGCCGGGGAGGCCUUGCGCCCCCGGGCCCGCGCCCGCCGAAGACCCCAACAUGAACGCUGUUCUGAAAGUAUGCAGUCUGAGUUGAUUAUCGUAAUCAGUUAAAACUUUCAACAACGGAUCUCUUGGUUCCGGCAUCGAUGAAGAACGCAGCGAAAUGCGAUAAGUAAUGUGAAUUGCAGAAUUCAGUGAAUCAUCGAGUCUUUGAACGCACAUUGCGCCCCCUGGUAUUCCGGGGGGCAUGCCUGUCCGAGCGUCAUUGCUGCCCUCAAGCACGGCUUGUGUGUUGGGCCCCCGUCCCCCUCUCCCGGGGGACGGGCCCGAAAGGCAGCGGCGGCACCGCGUCCGGUCCUCGAGCGUAUGGGGCUUUGUCACCUGCUCUGUAGGCCCGGCCGGCGCCAGCCGACACCCAACUUUAUUUUUCUAAGGUUGACCUCGGAUCAGGUAGGGAUACCCGCUGAACUUAAGCAUAUCAAUAAGCGGAG